AUUGAACGCUGGCGGCAUGCCUUACACAUGCAAGUCGAACGGUAACGGGCCUUCGGGUGCCGACGAGUGGCGAACGGGUGAGUAAUAUAUCGGAACGUGCCCAGUAGUGGGGGAUAGCCCGGCGAAAGCCGGAUUAAUACCGCAUACGACCUGAGGGUGAAAGCGGGGGAUCGCAAGACCUCGCGCUAUUGGAGCGGCCGAUAUCAGAUUAGCUAGUUGGUGGGGUAAAGGCCUACCAAGGCAACGAUCUGUAGUUGGUCUGAGAGGACGACCAGCCACACUGGGACUGAGACACGGCCCAGACUCCUACGGGAGGCAGCAGUGGGGAAUUUUGGACAAUGGGCGCAAGCCUGAUCCAGCAAUGCCGCGUGCAGGAAGAAGGCCUUCGGGCUGUAAACUGCUUUUGUCAGGGAAGAAAUCUUCUGGGUUAAUACCUCGGGAGGAUGACGGUACCUGAAGAAUAAGCACCGGCUAACUACGUGCCAGCCGCCGCGGUAACAC
rnacentral:rRNA from 1 species